rnacentral:lncRNA from 1 species
GAGGGUAUGCCAGGUACCUCAACUGCUACAGCCCCUGCUGUUGAGCUAUUGUUUAGGAAGUUCCCCCCAGAAGGCAGGCAGUGUGGCCUGUGGUUGGGAAUUGUGUCUCUGAUGUUCUGUGGUUCUUGGAACAGCAUCAUGGGAAGCGGAUGGCGUAGCUUCUUACUCCAAGGAUUUUCAGGGAGGUGGCGGGGGGGGGGAACAUUUACAGAAUCUUGAAAACCAUGAGGUAGGGGAUGCAGUUCACUGACGGAACUCUUGCUUUACAAAGCCCUGUCAUUCCAAAUAUCCCUGCUCCAGAUGAUUUUAUCAUCUUGGGCCUUUCUCUGGAGUGAUAGAGCGUGGCCAUCCUGAUGGGUAAAGUCACAAGGCCCUUCUUCCCGUCUGAGGGUAAACUGGUUAGCAUGGGUUGUCAGUGCUCUGUGUAUAUAACAUAAUUUCUGUUCAGGGCAAUCCUGUCACCUGAAGGCCCACCUUCUGAUAGAGGUAAGCCUUCUCUGGUGACUCUGUGUGUGUGCUCACUGGGAUAAGACGACAGGUGUCCAGUGGGCUCCCUUUGUAGUCACCAUGUUGUCUCUACCUCAUGUUCUCUCAGUCCUCACUUUUGCCGCCUUCCCUUUUGUUAGCCAUGGACAUGAGACUUCUGUGCUCGUUCUUCCUACACAUCACCAUCCGCACGGACAGCUGGGAGCUGUCUUUUUAAACAUCAAACGCCCCUUCAUUUUCUUGCCAGCAACCACAGUUUACUUCCUGUAUGUCUGAAGGGGUCAAUUUUAGGUAUCCCAUAUAAGUGGAAUAAUUACUUUUGUGUGAUUGACUCAUUUCAUUUAGCUAAGUUGCAUUCAUAUUUUACCUUGGGUCUGCAUUUCCAUAUUUUUAAGCCUAAUAAAGUUCCAUCCUGUGUAUGCCCUCCAUUUUGUUCAUCUACCAUUGCUGGAAUUUUGGUUCUGCCUGCCUUUUGGCUAUCAUGGGUAAUGUGGUCAUGAACAUGAAUGAGUGUGCGAGUAUUUGGGCUCUGCUUUCCGGGCGUUUGACACAGUCUCAGGAGUAGAUGUCCACACCAUGUUGGUUAAAGAACCAUUGUCCUGUUUUUCCACAAUAGCACUGCUCUACUCAGGGUUUCCAGAUUCUCCACAUCCUGGGAUUUGAGUGUUUGGUUGUUUUGUGGCAAGAGACCAGAGCUUUGUAAACAGACAAGCACUCUAUCCCUGAGCUCCACUUACAGCAUCAGUUUUCUGUGUGGUUGGUUUUUAAAUUGUCCUUGUAUGUGAGAUAACAAUUUACUGUAUAAAUUGCAUUUUCUAGUGCUUAGUGAUGGUGAACAUCUUUUCAUGGAUUUGACAUUUGUGUGUUUUCUUUGGAGAAAUAUCUUUUAAAUUCUUUGCCCACUUCUGAAUCUAGUUUAUGUGCAUAUACUUUAUGUAUAAGUUGUUAAAAGUACUUCUGUAUCUGGCAAUAUCAUAUAAUUUUAUGCAUGUUAACAUAAAUGUUUCUUACUUUAAAAUUUUAAAGUUGGGCCAGAGAGAUGGCUCAGCAGGUAAAGAAAGUUGUUUGUCACCAAGCCUGACAACCUGAGUUCAGCCCCAGACCCCACAUGGUGUAAGAAGAGAAGUGACUCCUUGCAGCUUCCCUUAACCCCACACUAGCUGUGGUGUUGUACACACAUACAAUAAAGAGAUUAAUUUAAAAAAA